AUUGAACGCUGGCGGCAGGCCUAACACAUGCAAGUCGAACGAGUGGCGGACGGGUGAGUAAUGUCUGGGAAACUGCCCGAUGGAGGGGGAUAACUACUGGAAACGGUAGCUCAUACCGCAUACCAUCGGAUGUGCCCAGAUGGGAUUAGCUUGUGAGUGAGGUAACGGCUCACCUAGGCGACGAUCCCUAGCUGGUCUGAGAGGAUGACCAGCACAAGUGGAAUGGAGACAGGUGCGAGACGCCUAGGGGGGGCAGCGGGGGGGAAUAUUGCACAAGGGGCGAAAGCGUGAUGCAGCCAGGCCGGGGUUAUGAAGAAGGCCGUCGGGUUGUAAAGUACUUUCAGCGGGGAGGCUUUACCGGCAGAAGAAGCACCGGCUAACUCCGUGCCAGCAGCCGCGGUAAUU
rnacentral:rRNA from 1 species